rnacentral:rRNA from 1 species
CAAUAGCGUAUAUUAAAGUUGUUGCGGUUAAAAAGCUCGUAGUUGGAUUUCUGCUGAGAACGACCGGUCCGCCCAUUGGGUGUGUAUCUGGCUCUUUCUUGGCAUCUUCUUGGUGAACGUUACUGCACUUGACUGUGUGGAGCGCUACCCAGGACUUUUACUUUGAGGAAAUUAGAGUGUUUCAAGCAGGCAUACGCCUUGAAUACGUUAGCAUGGAAUAAUAAGAUAGGACCUCGGUUCUAUUUUGUUGGUUUCUAGAGCUGAGGUAAUGAUUAAUAGGGAUAGUUGGGGGCAUUCGUAUUUAACUGCCAGAGGUGAAAUUCUUGGAUUUGUUAAAGACGGACUACUGCGAAAGCAUUUGCCAAGGAUGUUUUCAUUGA